ensembl:snRNA U6 U6 spliceosomal RNA
GUGCUCACUAUGGCAGCACAUAUACUAAAAUUGGAACCAUACAGAGAUUAGCAUAGCCCCUGCGAAACAAAAAAACCAAACCAAAAACACCGGUUA